rnacentral:rRNA from 1 species
AUUGAACGCUGGCGGCAGGCCUAACACAUGCAAGUCGAGCGGAUGAGGGGAGCUUGCUCCUGGAUUCAGCGGCGGACGGGUGAGUAAUGCCUAGGAAUCUGCCUGGUAGUGGGGGACAACGUUUCGAAAGGAACGCUAAUACCGCAUACGUCCUACGGGAGAAAGCAGGGGACCUUCGGGCCUUGCGCUAUCAGAUGAGCAUAGGUCGGAUUAGCUAGUUGGUGAGGCAAUGGCUGACCAAGGCGACGGUCCGUAACUGGACUGAGAGGAUGAUCAAGCACACUGGAACGGAGACACGGCCCAGACGCCUGCGGUAGGCGGCAGUGGGGAAUAUUGGACAAUGGGCGAAAGCCUGAUCCAGCCAUGCCGCGUGUGUGAAGAAGGUCUUCGGAUUGUAAAGCACUUUAAGUAGGGAGGAAGGGUUGUAGAUUAAUACUCUGCAAUUUUGACGUUACCGACAGAAUAAGCACCGGCUAACUCGGUGCCAGCCGCCGUAAAAC